CGAACGCUGGCGGCAGGCCUAAUACAUGCAAGUCGAACGGCUCUUCGGAGCAGUGGCGGACGGGUGAGUAACGCGUGGGAAUGUGCCCUUAGGUACGGAACAACACAGGGAAACUUGUGCUAAUACCGUAUGUGCCCUUCGGGGGAAAGAGUUAUCGCCUUUGGAGCAGCCCGCGUUGGAUUAGGUAGUUGGUGAGGUAAAGGCUCACCAAGCCGACGAUCCAUAGCUGGUCUGAGAGGAUGACCAGCCACACUGGGACUGAGACACGGCCCAGACUCCUACGGGAGGCAGCAGUAGGGAAUCUUGCGCAAUGGGCGAAAGCCUGACGCAGCCAUGCCGCGUGUAUGAUGAAGGUCUUAGGAUUGUAAAAUACUUUCACCGGGGGAGAUAAUGACGGUACCCGGAGAAGAAGCCCCGGCUAACUUCGUGCCAGCAGCCGCAGUAACAC
rnacentral:rRNA from 1 species